GAUGAGCGCUUUUGUUUAUGUGGCAACCCUAUGAUUUUAGAUGCCCAUGUAAUUUUCGAUGACUCCUAUUGGCAUCACCUUGAAGUGUGGUUAGUGUUCCACCAUCUAGAGCUCGUGAAAAUAUUUGAUCUACCCCAAGAACGUCAGGUAAAAUAACAAAGGUAUGGUGUAAGCCAGCAAGCUGAGAGUAGAACAGACAGCAGAAUCAUUUCCUCUAAUCUCCCCGUCUGAGUCAUUCACGUAAGAAAUGUGCCACCAUUGCCAAGAACCUCUGCCUUGCUGACUUCCCAGCUCUCUGUGGCCCGCUGCCAGCCUGGAGUGAGCAGCUGGGUUGUGAGCCUAGUAUGCGGUAACAGUGCUGUUAAAGUCCUUUUGUUCAGAAUAAGGAUAUGCCCUGAAAACAGCAGCUCAUUCUGCGGAUAGUCAUCAGUACUCUCAGUGAAAUGAUAGCCAAUCAAUUGUUGAACCAUUUGAGCAGUAAAGGGAGUUCCCUCGGGGAAUCCAUUUUAAUGCAGAAUGCACAAGACUGAGAAGCAUUGGGAAAGCCAAAAAAUAAUGAUUAGCCCUGAGCUAACAUCUGCUGCAAUCCUCCUCUUUUUCUGCUGAGGAAGACUGGCCCUAAGGAACAGGUCAAGGAAGACAUUCUGAUCCUACCAAUCGAAUCUUUCCUGCUCCAGACAUUCUGAUCCUAUGAUGCAUUUGAGAGCUUGGAAAGCAAGACAAUCCUUCCUUGGUGUUUGUGGCAGCUUAGUUCCAGGUCACCACAAGGAUACCCAAAUUCGUGGAAGCUCAAGCCCCUCAGUCGGCCCUCCCUAUUCUCAGGUUCCACAUCAUCCGCAGAGUCAACCAACUGUGGAUGGUAAACGAUCCACGACUGACCACAGAACCAUGGUUAUGGAAGGCCAACUGUACACCUGCAGCCAAUUUGAAGCUGGUUUAAAGGUUCAUAUUUGAGGCAGCUAAAUAGCUUUGGAAGUCAG
rnacentral:lncRNA from 1 species